rnacentral:siRNA from 1 species
UAUUUACAGUGGCUGCCAUUGGC